UGAGAUGGUGAUUCUUAAUUU
rnacentral:piRNA from 1 species